ACCAAAGAUAAACACAACGUGCUGGAGUAAUUCAGUGGCGCAAUUAGCAUCUCUGGAGAGAAGGAAUAGGUGACGUUUCGGGUCGAGACCUUGUAGGUUAGUUGGCCUCUCAGUUGCUCCUGGUGCAGGGAGUGGGUGCGAAAGUGGGAUAAACAGAACUACAGUGAACAGGUGAUAGACACAAAAUGCUGGAGUAACUCAGCGGGGCAGGCAGCAUCUCUGGAGAAGGAAUAGGUGACGUUUCGGGUCGAGACCCUUCUUGAACGGGUGGUCGCUGUGAAGGGUCUGCUGCUAUACAAUAUCUCUAAACAAUCUAGGAUGCUGGAAAUCGGAAAUAAAACAGAUAUCUGGAAGUUGACGAGCAGUCUUCAGGGCAAGGAGACAUUGGAGAUCAAACAUGUUUUAAGUUGCAGAGGGAAGGAUGGAGUGAAUUUAGGGAAUAGCUAUGAUAAUACAAAAUCAAUGGAUGGCUGAGAAAAUCCCGCGGAGACUUGUUAAUGACAGCUGAUUUGUCUGGAGAUUUUACUGAAUGGAGAUGAAUGAUGAGAGAGUGUGACUUAUUUUGUAUGCAGUACAGAGCAAUGCUGCAGAUUGGGAAAUUAGCAUUUUCCAUGAGCAGUCUGAAGAAGCGGCCCAAUUCAAACGGCUCAAGGUCGCUUAUCCAUUUUCCUCUCUUGAUGCUGUCUGACUAGCUGAGUUCCAGUUUGUUUUCUUCUCAGGAUUCUAGUAUCUGCCAUAUCUUUUGGUCUCUGGUGGGAGCACAAACUAAUAUAAACACUGGAAAUGCCUUGGAAGUCGGGCAGCAUCUGUAGAGAGAGAAAAAAUUAAGAUGUGGGAGGAAAACCAUGCAGUCACAGGGAGAACUUGUGCUGAGGGACGCAUUGAAGCUGGCCAUUGAAACACAGGGUCCCCGGAUGUUUAUUUGCGGCCCAAUAAUAAAAACACAUUCAUGAUGAAGUCCAACUUUAUUCCAACAAAUACACUGGAGCAUUUCAACAGCCAACUGUUUGCCUUUGACUUUCUAACUAGUGCCCGAGAGAGCGAGUGUGUCUUUGUGUAGUACCGUAAUACCAUGUAAAGGGUGGCAUCCAUAUUUGUGUGGUGUAGGUUGGAGACACCACUCAAACAAGAGCAGGGACAGCGCCCUGGGAGGCCACAUGAGUAGCAAGGGUGUUUUGACUAAAGAUAGGUAUGACAAUAUUAAAUGUAUAGACACAGAGUUUUUACACAGUUUUUGUUUAGUUUAGACAUACCACAUAGAAACUGGACCUUAGGCUCACCAAGUUCACACUGACCAUUGAUCAAAUAGUUCAUUGGGCAAUUUUAUAGAGGCCAGUUAACAUACAAACCUGCACAUCAUUGGGAUGUGGCAGGAACACAGAGCACCUGGGGGAAACCCAUGUGGCCACAGGAAAAACGUGCAAACUCUAACCCUAAGGUCAGGGUUACACUCGGGUCUCUGGUGCUGUGAUACAACAACUCUACCAACUGAGUAAAUUUUUUAUUCUGAGUAAAGUUGAUUUAGGGGAAAAAUUAUGGACCAGCCACAUAAAUAAUGUGACUACAGAGACGAGGUGGUCUGAAGAAAGUGACUCACCUUCUGUGUGACACUUCAAAGCCUUUUAACUAUAGCAUGCCAGAAAUAUGAUGGAAGAAGGCAUUCCACUUGUUUUUAUGAGUGCAGCUCCAACACCAUAAGCAGCUCUGUUUCAUCCUGGACCAGAAGGCUUGUUUUAUUGGCACUAUAUCCAACACAUAUCCAUAUGCUCAUGGAAAAGUCUCUUAAAUUCCACUAUCUGCCUCCACCACCACCGCUAGCAAUGCGUUCCCGGCCCCUAC